rnacentral:rRNA from 1 species
UAAUACGGGGGGGGCAAGCGUUGUUCGGAAUUACUGGGCGUAAAGGGCUCGUAGGCGGCCAGCCAAGUCGGACGUGAAAUCCCUCGGCUUAACCGGGGAACUGCGUCCGAUACUGGUUAGCUUGAAGCCGGGAGAGGGAUGCGGAAUUCCAGGUGUAGCGGUGAAAUGCGUAGAUAUCUGGAGGAACACCGGCGGCGAAGGCGGCAUCCUGGACCGGUCUUGACGCUGAGGAGCGAAAGCUAGGGGAGCAAACGGGAUUAGAUACCCCGGUAGUCCUAGCCCUAAACGAUGAAUGCUUGGUGUGGCGGGUAUCGAUCCCUGCCGUGCCGGAGCUAACGCGUUAAGCAUUCCGCCUGGGGAGUACGGUCGCAAGGCUG